rnacentral:rRNA from 1 species
UACGUAGGUGGCAAGCGUUGUUCGGAAUAACUGGGCGUAAAGGAUGCGUAGGCGGUUAUACAAGUUAUAUGUUAAAUAUAUAGGCUUAACCUGUAGACAGCAUAUAAAACUGUUUAACUAGAGUGCAGGAGAGGUAAGUGGAAUUCCUAGUGUAGCGGUGAAAUGCGUAGAGAUUAGGAAGAACACCAGUGGCGAAGGCGACUUACUGGACUGUAACUGACGCUGAGGCAUGAGUGCAUGGGGAGCAAACAGG